rnacentral:tRNA from 1 species
UCGUCGAUAGCUCGAUUGAUAGAGCGCCAGACUGUUAAUCCGUAGGUCUCUGGUUCGAGUCUUGGUCGAGGAG